AACAUUAUUGCAAUAGAGCAUUAGGAUCUCAUGCCCGAAGGCAACUAGACGAAAAAUUUGUCACCAAGUUCUUACCAUCAAAGGAAGCCCAAGCUCAGGUUCUCCAAUAUGAGGAAAAAAGGAAAUCGGGCAAAUUUACAUCUUGAAGCUAUAUACAAUCAAAUUUGACCUACUGUGAAAAUCAAGAUAAUGUUCCUACCAACUUUGCUAAGAAGUGGAUGUGGAUGGAAGCUAGAGGCAGAUUUUAACUUUCAUUCAUCCAUUAUUAGAAAUGUUUUAUUUCCUCCUCAGGAAGCGUCAGGUGAAGACAAACAUUUAGAGUGAAACAACGUGAUAUUUCUUCAAACAUGUACAAGUUAUAUAGUAUGAACAAAUUUGAGGCAACUUAACAAAUUCAUA